CACCACGUCAUUCAAGUCAGGUCAGGAAAUGGGGGGACGAUAGUGUCGAGGGGGAGCUCUGUCGGCAACGUCCCGAUAGUUCUCGGACGCACAGACAGACGUCGGCAUCAAGGGUUUGACAAUGUCCAUAACCGUGGUCGGCAAUGCGCUCAAGCACACCAUCCCACAACAUUGCGCACCCGAAACCUUAUGAUGAUCACUUGCAGGGGCU
rnacentral:misc_RNA from 1 species